GUAUCACUUUGAAUUGUAUUUUUUCAAUUCCUUUUAUCCCGGGCAAGAAAAAAAGUCAAAGCCAAGAGAUGCCUGACUUUGACUUUCUAACCAUUGAAUCAGUUUGUGAAAAGCAGUUCUUUUGGAUGCCCGCCGGAUGGACGGGCUUCCGAAAAAACUU
rnacentral:sRNA from 18 species